ACGAGAAUAUAAAAUAAGACAUUGGCUCAAGGAAAAUUCCCAAUUAAUGAGAAAGCAUAAUUUAACUGUGCAUGAAUCUUGUAUGCAUGAACUAACAUUCUGAGCGAUAAUCGGGAAUUCUACUAUUAAUCAUUGUUAAUAGAUUUAACUAAUUCUCGUCUAACGCGGUCGAAUAGAGCUGUGAUUCUUCAUUUCCCAUCGGAAUAUUCUAAUUGUAAAAUAGAUCUCGUAUUUGUACUCGAUCGAAAUAAAGAACUAACUCGGCUUUAAUCGAGGUGUGAUCUCAUAAAAAUUAUCGGGCUUUUCAAAAUUUAAUAAAUAAUUGAAAACAUUUCUCUUGAGUUAAGAACACCAACAAUAUUCUUACUCGUCUUUCUUUAAUAAUUGGAUUUAUAAUUAAAACCAAUUAAAUACUUUUAUUGCAAGUAAAAAUGCAAUUUCAUGUCAUGCUUAGCAUAUAAUAAGUAAUUUACUUAAAAUAUGCACAUAAUAAUAAUACAAUAUUAUUAUUAUGUAAAUCAUCUUUUGAGAAAAAUAAUUAAUUAAACUAAAUAAAUAGUCUAAUUAAUAAGUAUCCAUUUUUCUUUGAACUCCAGCCCAGUUAAAUAAUAAGAUAGCCCAUUUCUUUAAAAAAAAACAUAAGCCCAAUGUUUCAAUUUAAAUCAGGGCCCAAAGACUUUAAUAAAAUCGGUCCAAAGACUUUAAUAAAAUCGGCCCAUAGCCAAAGCCCAAUACCAUUUAAACACAAGCUCAAUCUUUUAAAAGAUAAAAGCCCAAUUAAAAUAAAUGAUGAGGCCCAAAUUCCAUUUAAAAAAAUCGGCCCAUCACUUAUUAAAAAUCGGCCCAAGACUCGGCCCAAAAUAAAGAAAUAACCCGGCCCAAUGUAAAUAAAUGCUAAAAGCCCAAUUGAAUUAACAAAAGAGGCCCAACUUCAAUUAAUUAACUAAAGCCCAAUUUCUUUUCCUCCAAGUCGGUUCUCUCUUCUUCUCCCAGCAGAACACGCUCCACUCUCUCUCAAGCAAUUCACGCCUUUCUCUAUCUAUUCUUUUUCAAACAGUCGCCGCUCAAGACAUCUCUCUCUCUCUCGCCCGCUCUACGCGAGCUCCGCCGCGAACGGCUCCGGCGAGAACGACGGCCAGCCGAGGACAUCGCCCCUGAUCUGCCGUCGCCGCUCCGUACUCUGACCAUUCCAGCCGCCGGCGAGGCCGGCGUUGCUCAGAACCCCGACGUCGGUCUGCUCCCUCAUCUCCUCUCUCUCGAUUUACCUCUCAAACUCGACUGAGAGGAGGAGCCCUAGCUUUCCCUGAGAUCGAAUCCUCCGCCGUUUCUGUAAGUCCGGCGACCGCUAGUUGUCGUCCCCCCUCCAAACUUGGUGUCUCGGCCUCAAAUCCGUGUUCGGGAAGAAGAGAGUGGAAGGGCGAGCCCUAAUCGUCAAAUACCAGGUCGCCGCUGCACCGCGUCUCCAUCAGAAUCUGAUGGCUGGUCGCCGUGGCUCUGUAAAUCCGGCAACUGACUGCCGGUUUCGUUCUCCUCCACGAAUCGCCGCCAUCUCCUUCGCGUUCCUCCGGCGACCAGGUAAAGUCCGCCUUCGUUGUUCUCCGAGGUCGACGGGGUUCGAUUUGUGCCACGCCACCGCCGCUGCUGCUACUGGAAGGCCGGCUUCGCCGUUGCUGUCGCUGUUCCCGGCGAAGGGUGUCGCCUCGCCUACUCCUCGGCGCCGUUAAAUCCCGAUUCAGAGCAGGGCAAUCGGCCCUAUUUCUUAAGCUAAGUUCUCUAGUUUCAUUCUACUAUUGUAUCUUGAUUCAUUUGCUUAUGAUGUGAAAGUUUAAUACGAGGAGUUGUGGUUUUUCCUAAUUCCGUUUAUAAGCCGUGGAAAUUUUGCUACUGUGCUAAAUGAAUAACAGCGUUGUUAUAUGCUCGUCAAUGAGCCCUGUGUUGGAUUAUGAGCUAAGGUGUAUUCUUUCUUUGUUUUGCAUAAACUCAUAUGCUUGUUGUUCUAGAGUGCAGCCUGUUUGUGAAGUUUAUACUUUCUAUUGUACGAAAUAUCUAGGCUAUUUGAUGUAGAUGAACUGUGAUAUGCUAGAUAUGGAUGCAAACUGAGUUGAAUAUUUGGGAUAUCAAAUUACCUUGAGUAUUUUGUGUUGGUAGCUGCUGUUGUUGAUAAUGAAUUCAAUGGAGAAGAAACUCUCGAUACUUGGCAGUUGGCAGCAGGAACUUCAUCUCCCUUUCUGGUGCUUGGUGUAUGAGAGAAGGAAUGAAGUAAGUGGAAAGUUUGGUGGAGAAAAAGGGUGGUGGUGCAGGCUAGUGCGUAGGUCUCAUUUUUGUUAAGUGGAGGUAGUGGUUGAUAAAUAAUUAGAUAGUGGAAGAUGAUUGUCUUAAGCAUGAUCUUCCUCCUAAAGCCAGCAAAUUCGAGAGUUUUAUUUUUUUACCCAAAUGUACUGCGUCACUCUUGCUGCCAGUGGUGAGCUUAUAUGCAAAGAUUUCUUCUUGUACUCAGAAAAAAAAUCAAUUACUGCAUUGAUUGAUAGUGGUGGUUGAAGUUCUAAUUGUAAAUAAUAAUAAAUCUUUGUGUCUUGGUUA